UACGUAGGGUGCAAGCGUUGUCCGGAAUUAUUGGGCGUAAAGAGCUCGUAGGCGGCUCGUCGCGUCUGCUGUGAAAGCCCGGGGCUUAACCCCGGGUCUGCAGUGGGUACGGGCGGGCUAGAGUGCGGUAGGGGAGACUGGAAUUCCUGGUGUAGCGGUGAAAUGCGCAGAUAUCAGGAGGAACACCGGUGGCGAAGGCGGGUCUCUGGGUCAAGAUUGACGCUCAUGCACGAAAGCGUGGGGAGCAAACAGG
rnacentral:rRNA from 1 species